rnacentral:rRNA from 1 species
UAACCUGCCUUGGAUGGGGAAUAACACAUCGAAAGAUGUGCUAAUACCGCAUAAUGCAGUUGGGCCGCAUGGCUCUGACUGCCAAAGAUUUAUCGCUCUGAGAUGGACUCGCGUCUGAUUAGCUGGUUGGCGGGGUAACGGCCCACCAAGGCGACGAUCAGUAGCCGGACUGAGAGGUUGACCAGCCACAUUGGGACUGAGACACGGCCCAGACUCCUACGGAAGGCAGCAG